rnacentral:rRNA from 1 species
GAUGAACGCUGGCGGCGUGCCUAAUACAUGCAAGUCGAGCGAACGGACGAGAAGCUUGCUUCUCUGAUGUUAGCGGCGGACGGGUGAGUAACACGUGGAUAACCUACCUAUAGGACUGGGAUAACUUCGGGAAACCGGAGCUAAUACCGGAUAAUAUUUUGAACCGCAUGGUUCAAAAGUGAAAGACGGUCUUGCUGUCACUUAUAGAUGGAUCCGCGCUGCAUUAGCUAGUUGGUAAGGUAACGGCUUACCAAGGCAACGAUGCAUAGCCGACCUGAGAGGGUGAUCGGCCACACUGGAACUGAGACACGGUCCAGACUCCUACGGGAGGCAGCAGUAGGGAAUCUUCCGCAAUGGGCGAAAGCCUGACGGAGCAACGCCGCGUGAGUGAUGAAGGUCUUCGGAUCGUAAAACUCUGUUAUUAGUGAAGAACAUAUGUGUAAGUAACUGUGCACAUCUUGACGGUACCUAAUCAGAAAGCCACGGCUAACUACGUG